GAUGAACGCUAGCGGCAGGCUUCAUACAUGCAAGUCGAGGGGCAGCAUAAAUUACUUGUAAUUUGAUGGCGACCGGCGAACGGGUGCGUAACGCGUAUGCAACUUACUUUUACUAGAGAAUAGCCAAGAGAAAUUUUGAUUAAUGCUCUAUACACUUAUUAAUUCUCAUGAAUCUAUAAGAAAAGCUCCGGCGGUAAAAGAUGGGCAUGCGUCCUAUUAGCUUGUAGGUGAGGUAACGGCUCACCUAAGCUCCGAUAGGUAGGGGUCCUGAGAGGGAGAUCCCCCACACGGGUACUGAGACACGGACCAGACUUCUACGGAAGGCAGCAGUAAGGAAUAUUGGACAAUGGAGGCAACUCUGAUCCAGCCAUGCCGCGUGAAGGAAGACGGCCUUAUGGGUUGUAAACUUCUUUUAUACAGGAAGAAACCUUUCCACGUGUGGAAAGCUGACGGUACUGUAAGAAUAAGGAUCGGCUAACUCCGUGCCAGCCGCCGCCGUAACAC
rnacentral:rRNA from 1 species